rnacentral:lncRNA from 1 species
UUGAAUAUGCCUUGUUUCACAUAAAUAAUAUAGGUACUAUAUAAAAAUAAAAAUAAAACUAUUUAGAAAAGGAUACAAUAGAUUAUUUUCAAACCAAAAGUAUAUAUUAUUUGAUAUUGUAGUUAAUUGUUAAUUGAAUAAGCCUCGUGUGACAUAAAUAUUAUAUGUACUAAUUAAAAAAACACCUAUUGUAAAAUAUUUUACAU